CAGUAGCCGCGGUAAUACGAAGGGGGCUAGCGUUGUUCGGAUUUACUGGGCGUAAAGCGCACGUAGGCGGAUCGAUCAGUCAGGGGUGAAAUCCCAGAGCUCAACUCUGGAACUGCCUUUGACACUGUCGAUCUGGAGUAUGGAAGAGGUAAGUGGAAUUCCGAGUGUAGAGGUGAAAUUCGUAGAUAUUCGGAAGAACACCAGUGGCGAAGGCGGCUUACUGGCUCAUUCUAGACGCUGAGGUGCGAAAGCGUGGGGAGCAAACAGGAUUAGAUACCCCUGUAGUCCCUGUCUCUUAUAC
rnacentral:rRNA from 1 species